rnacentral:rRNA from 1 species
AGACGUCUACAUUAGAUACCCCCGGUAGUCCCAGCCGUAAACUAUGCGCGUUAGGUGUAUCGGUGACCACGAGUUACCGAGGUGCCGAAGGGAAACCGUGAAACGUGCCGCCUGGGAAGUACGGUCGCAAGGCUGAAACUUAAAGGAAUUGGCGGGGGAGCACAACAACGGGUGGAGCCUGCGGUUUAAUUGGACUCAACGCCGGACAACUCACCGGGGACGACAGCAAUAUGUAGGCCAGGCUGAAGACCUUGCCUGAAUCGUUG